AAGCUUUGUUGGGUACCCCGAAUUGAUUUUGCUUCACACUAUCUUGAUCAAGAUAGUGUGAAGCUUUUGAGAAUUUGUAGUUGUCCUCCAUUCAUGAAGCUUUGUUGAAUUUCCCAAUUAUUUUAUUUUAUUUUAUUUUUAUUUUUUUUUUGGGAAACUAGAAAUUUGAAAAUGUGGGAGAGACAACAUAUACAAAUUUUGCUUCCACACUGUUGAGCAAGAGAUUGUGAUGCAAGCCACACCUUGUAGUAAUCGAAGGUUUGGAUGAACCAUAUAAAUUGAAUUUGCUUCGAACAGUCUUGAAUUUGCUUCGAAGGUUUGAGAAUUAUAGUUGCCCUCCAUUGAUGAAGCUUUUGUUGGCACCAUAAAUUGGUUUUGCUUCACACUGUCUUGAUCAAGAAUGUGUGAAGCUUUUGAGAAUUGUGGUUGAACUCCUUUGAUGAAGCUUUUGUUGGCACCAUAAAUUGGUUUUGCUUCACACUAUCUUGAUCAAGAGUGUGUGAAGCUUUUGUGAUUUGUGGUUACCCUCCAUUGAUGAAGCUCUUGUUAGCACUAUAAAUUGGUUUUGCUUCACACUGUCUCGAUCAAAAGUGUGUGAAGCUUUUGAGAAUUGUGGUUGAACUCCUUUGAUGAAGCUCUUGUUGGCACCAUAAAUUGGUUUUGCUUCACACUGUCUUGAUCAAGAGUAUGUGAAGCUUUUAAGAUUUGUGGUUGCCCUCCAUUGAUGAAGCUCUUGUUGGCACCAUAAAUUGGUUUUGCUUCACAUUGUCUUGAUCAAGAAUGUGUGAAGCUUUUGAGAAUUGUGGUUGAACUCCUUUAAUAAAGCUCUUGUUGGCACCAUAAAUUGAUUUUGCUUCACACUGUCUUGAUCAAGAGUGUGUGAAGAUUUUAAGAAUUGUGGUUGCUCUCCAUUGAUGAAGCUCUUGUUGGCACCAUAAAUUGGUUUUGCUUCACACUGUCUUGAUCAAGAGUGUAUGAAGCUUUUGAGAAUUGUGGUUGAACGCCUUUAAUGAAGCUCUUGUUGGCACCAUAAAUUGGUUUUGCUUCACACUAUCAUGAUCAAGAGUGUGUGAAGCUUUCUACGAGUGUAGUGUUUGCAUUGUUACAUAGGGGAAAUGUUUGAAGCAGAUACAAGAAGGCUGAAUAGCUUAAUCUUCAUAUGCCAUGCACUGAAGUUGUUAUUGGCUUGCAAUAAGACUUUGUUGGUGACUAUAACUCUUGUUGGGCAUAAGUGCUCCCCUAGUUGAGUUGUCAAGCUUAAGGGGUUUUUUAUUAUUUGUGAAUGCUAGGAGUUCACAUGUACAAGUUGUACCACUCGUUUUCUGGUAGGUGGAAUGAAUGGUGAGUUGCUUUCAUCACUUGGUUGGUGUUACGAAGGUGAGUUCCUUCAUCACAUUUCAUCACUUGGUUGACAUAUGUUGAUGCACAAAAUCAGUAAGGACUUUGGAACAACAGAAAGUGUUAAGUUUGUGACCUUCGCUGGAUUGCUUUGGUCAGUAGUGUGGAUAAGUAUGUAAAUGGAUAGGGACAGGGAAGCAAACACAAGAUGUACGUGGUUCACCCAGAUUGGCUACGUCGACGGAGUAGAGAAGUUCUCAUUAAUUGUGAAGGGUUUACACAAGUACAUAGGUUCAAGCUCUCCUUUAGUGAGUACUAGUGAAUGAUUUAGUACAAAUGACAUUAGGAAAUAUUGUGAGAGAAUGAUCUCUAUUUAUAGCAGAUAGUUUUUAGUUUCAUUCUGACAUUGGCACGUGUCGUGCUGUGAUUGGCCUAUAAUGUCGACACGUGUCGCGUUGCGAUUGGCCUCUAAUGUUGACAUGUGCCGAGUUGUGAUUGGCUUCCUGGUUGGAGGAA
rnacentral:lncRNA from 1 species